AUUGAACGCUGGCGGCAGGCCUAACACAUGCAAGUCGAGCGGAUGAAGGGAGCUUGCUCCUGGAUUCAGCGGCGGACGGGUGAGUAAUGCCUAGGAAUCUGCCUGGUAGUGGGGGAUAACGUCCGGAAACGGGCGCUAAUACCGCAUACGUCCUGAGGUAGAAAGUGGGGGAUCUUCGGACCUCACGCUAUCAGAUGAGCCUAGGUCGGAUUAGCUAGUUGGUGGGGUAAAGGCCUACCAAGGCGACGACCCGUAACUGGUCUGAGAGGAUGAUCAGUCACACUGGAACUGAGACACGGUCCAGACUCCUACGGGAGGCAGCAGUGGGGAAUAUUGGACAAUGGGCGAAAGCCUGAUCCAGCAAUGCCGCGUGUGUGAAGAAGGUCUUCGGAUUGUAAAGCACUUUAAGUUGGGAGGAAGGGCAGUAAGUUAAUACCUUGCUGUUUUGACGGUACCAACAGAAUAAGCACCGGCUAACUUCGUG
rnacentral:rRNA from 1 species